rnacentral:rRNA from 1 species
CAGUCGCCACGGUAAUACAGAGGGUGCAAGCGUUAAUCGGAAUUACUGGGCGUAAAGCGCGCGUAGGUGGUUCGUUAAGUUGGAUGUGAAAUCCCCGGGCUCAACCUGGGAACUGCAUCCAAAACUGGCGAGCUAGAGUAGGGCAGAGGGUGGUGGAAUUUCCUGUGUAGCGGUGAAAUGCGUAGAUAUAGGAAGGAACACCAGUGGCGAAGGCGACCACCUGGGCUCAUACUGACACUGAGGUGCGAAAGCGUGGGGAGCAAACAGGAUUAGAUACCCGUGUAGUCCCUGUCUCUUAUAC